UGAUUACCUUUGGAAUCUGUAUGAAUUUGUAAUUAUUUUCGAAAUUAGCGUUACAGGCAGUGUUUCACAGUCUAAAACUUCUGAAAUUUAUUCGAAGAAAGUUUUCAUAAUGGUAAGAUACGGAUAAUUUCAUGAAUUAAAUCCGAAGGAUUCUGUAAAUGGAACACAUUCCUUACCGAAUCGAGAUUCGAAAUGAUGGGUUUUCUCUUUGAGGUUUGGAAAUUGAUCGGAAAAAUCCUAGAUUCAUUUAUAUAUGCCCGAAUCACUUCAACUGGAUAUAAUUUGUGAUAAGAUUAGUAAACGUUAGCCCAUUGCCCUUCCAACUCCAUACAUUUGAGAGCAAAGAGACUAAGACUUCAAGCACUUCUCUGAUUAAAAGUAUGAGUACUUUAUCAGAGGACACUUUUCCGAAGAGGAAACCUAGGGCAAAAUUAGUUACCAAUUAUUUUGUUGUUAUGAUACCUACAUACAAUAUACAUGAGUAAGACCUCCAGACCCUCCCCAACCUUUUGAAAAGAAGCAUCAGAAGAAAUUGUUCAAUCAGAGAAAAUAUUUACAGAGAAAACAUUGAACCUAAAGUUUCUGCAAUCAAACGAAGUAGAAAAACCUAUGUUUGGGACAUGGCUGAAGAAGAAUUCAGUUCGGAUAAAACAAGGCCAAACUUCAUAUUCAUGAGGAGAACUAUUUUUCGCUUCGGAGUAAUGUUCAUUCUGUAGUCGAAGCUAUGGAACUUGAAUAAUCUGCUAUAUUUCAGAGUAAAUCCUUUCAUCACAGUCAUCUAUAAGUGCUUCUAAGGCUCCUCUUUCUGGUAAAGGAAUAAAUGUUUGAGAGGAAGUUGAAAGACCUAUCAACACAGAUAUACAGUCCUGCAUUGAGAUCAUUUACUUUGACAUUCUAAUCCCCAAGAGCUAAUUAUUUUGCACGCAUUCCAUUCAACAAAAAUGUUUGAAAUAUAAAUUGAUUGUGAGUGGUUUGGCCAGGGAGUUAAAGAAUAUUUGUGUAU